rnacentral:rRNA from 1 species
AUUGAACGCUGGCGGCAGGCCUAACACAUGCAAGUCGAACGGUAACAGGAAGCAGCUUGCUGCUUUGCUGACGAGUGGCGGACGGGUGAGUAAUGUCUGGGAAACUGCCCGAUGGAGGGGGAUAACUACUGGAAACGGUAGCUAAUACCGCAUAACGUCGCAAGACCAAAGAGGGGGACCUUAGGGCCUCUUGCCAUCGGAUGUGCCCAGAUGGGAUUAGCUAGUAGGUGGGGUAACGGCUCACCUAGGCGACGAUCCCUAGCUGGUCUGAGAGGAUGACCGCCCCCACGGAAACGAGACAAGGUCCCAAACCCUAAGGGGGGGCGGAGGUGGGAAAUUUGGACAAAGGGGGGAAGCCUGAUGGAGGCCAGGCGCGGGGAAUAAGAAGGCCCUCCGGUUUGAAAGUUACUUUCAGGGGGAGGAAGGGAGGUAAGUUAAUAACCUUGCCUCUUGACCGUACCCGCAGAAGAAGCACCGGCUAACUCCGUG